AUGGGUAUCUGGCUUCUGUGCUGGAUAAUUUUUAGUCUCCUGAAAGCAGGACAUACAGGACCCAAUGUCGUGCAGAUUCCAAGUCAUCAAGUGAAAGAUGUGAAUCAGACGGUGACUCUCAGUUGUGACCCUGUUUCUAAUCACCUGUACUUCUAUUGGUAUAAACAGAUCUUAGGACAACAGAUGGAGUUUCUGGUUUCUUUCUACAGUGGUAAAGUUUUGGAUAAGUCUGAGCUAUUCAAGGAUCGGUUUUCAGUUGAAAGGCCAGAUGGUUCAUAUUUCACUCUGAAGAUACAACCCACAAAUCUGAAGGACUCAGCAGUGUACUUCUGUGCCAGCAGCUUAGCCACAGCCUUGCAGUAA